GGGAAGGGAUCGUGGGAGGAUGCGGAGGGGAGUGGAUAAGGUGGGCCGCCGAGGAAACUUUUUUCUCUUACGGGAAGUUCGGGUGGGCUGAAUCUAGGAACAUCUCCGUGCCCUAUAGAGUCGAUCGCGAUCCGAAUAACUAUUCUGAUCGUGAUUAGAAUAGUGCUAAUAUAUAUAUAGAAAGUCUAUUAGUGACCCUGGGUGAAGAAUAAGUAAUUCCUCACCCGGGUCGAUCGACCGAGCGAUGGUAGUUUGACUAAACGCCAGCCAAUGUAAUUUUACUUCGAGGGAAACUUUAGCUGGUCGCCCACUCCCCCAAAUGUCAGAAGGAAAAAAAAACUAGCCCACUCCUCCAGUCCGUUCCUAUCUCCCUCCGGCCCCUCACAUCUCGUCAUUGCGGCGGCGGCGGCGGCGACGGCGCCGGACGGACGACCCGGCGGCGAGGACUACCUCUCUUGUGCGUGGAGUACUUCCCUUACCUCUCUCAUGUGGUAGCGACUCGGAGGCGCCGUGGGCGGUGCAAGAUCUGGGCGAGCUCGGCAGGACGACGGCGUUCUCCGGCGUCCCUCUUCACCGUCGACGGGUUAUUGGUUUUUGGGAGCGGUGCUGGGAAAGAGGAAGAAGACCAAGGAAAGGAAAGGAAAAUGAGAAGCUCGGGUGAUGGAGGUAAUGCUGGAGAAGGGCUCCUGGCGGUGGGAUCAAUUCUAGGAGGAGGUGGAGAUCAUAGCAGAGGAUAUGAAGGCCGUGUGGAUGACAUAGAAGAAGAGGAGGAGCUCAAGGCUGCGGAGAAAAAGGACAACAGUAGAGUAUCAGACUUCCAUCUAGCUGAGAUCAACUUUUGUUUUCACGGGACAUGUUUUCAAGCUUUGGGUGCCUGCGGCCGGCUCGACGGGUGGCAUCAGCAAGCGCCGGCCGGCCUCGGCACUGCUGUUGGUGGUUAUAUGGUGGGCGGAGCACACUAGUGGGCUUCAACGUCAGGAUGCACCAGCAACAGAACAUGAAGAAUGUUGUGGCGAGGUGAGCGAAAUCUGGCAGAUUGCGGACAGAGGCCACGGAAGGUGACCGGAACCCCAACGUGGCCCUGAAAUCAACCACCAAUGGGCAAGCAUAGAGGAGGUGACUCGCUGACUGCAGCGGGGAAUGGCGGAGUGGGCAACUAUUCCACGCUCUAAAAUUGAGGUUUAGAGCAAUUAAAAAGAAUCAUGUUCCUGCUUUUUUCUCCUUGCUGUGAGUGUAUUGGAGUAUAGGGUUCUCCCUGGAGGGUCGUGUAAUCAGUGUGCUAUCUGAGGCAAUGUAUAGAGUUCCAGUUCUGUUUUUCUUGAGAGCUGACCCUGUAAAUUCUAGCUCUGUUUUCUUUGAGCUGAUAUGUAAAUUCUUCAAUGUUUAAAUAAAGUUCAGCCUCAGGCCCUUAAAGAUAAUACUACUCCCC
rnacentral:rRNA from 1 species